CUCUUCCUCAGAAUCAAGUGACAGUGAGUGUGAGGUGGUCACCAUGAAUCGCUUAAGAAACUCUCUUCUCACGAAACCCAGCCCAGAUCCCCAAGCCCCUGUUGAAGAAGCAACACUUUCUCUAACUGAAUCUGAACCUGUUGAAGAAACAACACUUUCUCUAACUGAAUCUGAACCAAUUCUCCUCUACCCAGUUCAAGAACUAUCAAUUCCAGCCCAACUUGAAAAAUCAGCAGUCUCUUCUGCGAUGAACCAAAUCCGAAAUAAACCUGCAG
rnacentral:lncRNA from 1 species